rnacentral:lncRNA from 1 species
AUUCCAGCUCACCACUACCAGAGCCAACUACUGUGCUACUGCCUCCCGCUGUAGGAGAGAUUACUUUGCUGCCUCGUGUCUCCUUACCCAGGCGUCUCGGCUCCGGGAGCCCAAGUCCGGAGUGGGCCGCGGUUCCUGUGACCUUUGAUGACGUCACCCUGUACUUGCUGCAGGAAGAGUGGCUGCUGCUGGGUAAGCCGCAGAAGGACUUCUCUACUACCGACAAGCUGACAGCACCUCGAGGAAAAACCCAUGUGAACUGUAUGGAAGAAAUAGAUACGUAGGGAUCCACCAGAGAGAAAGGACAGUACCUGCCACUGCAAAAGGAAUCCUGCCGUGCUCACUUCAGUACAGAGAGCAGCACAACGGGGGAAGACUGGACAGGAGGAAACAAGAAACUGCCCAAGCCCCGCUCCAUCCAGAAGUCAUGGUUUACAAAGUUUCCGUGGUUGAUUGUGAAUGAGGAACAGGCAGCUCUGUUUUGGGCUGUCUGCCGAGAAUACUCAUCUGUCAAAGACAGAAGGUCACAGUUAAUAGAAGGCUACACAGCACCAUUCAAGGUGGAAACUCCUAAUUUCACUAGAGUGCACUGCAGCAGGAGUUGGCAGGGCAGGCCACUGUGUGCACACAGGAACUGCAACAGCACCUCUCAUAACUUCUGCUGCAGAAUCAUUUCUUGACUGGCAUGUCCCUUUGUUUAUACUACAGCUAUAAUCUGGAUUACUUUCUAACAUUUUUCCCUUUUUUCUUUUUCUUUUUAGUGUGUAUGAAUGUUUUGUCUGCAUGUGUAUCUGUGUAUCAUGUGUUUAUAGUGCUGGUGGAGACCAGAAGAGGCAUCGCAUCCCCUGGAACUGGAGUUACAGACAGUUGUGAGCUGCCAUGUGAGUGCUGGGAAUUGAACCUGGGUCCUCUGGAAGAACAGGCAGUGCUCUUAACCAUUGAGCCAUCUCUGUAGUUCUACUUUCUAACAUUCUUCUUCUAUAUACUUUUUUUGUCAUUAUUCAUAGUUCCAUGAUUAGUCUUAUGUGUGUGUGGUACUGAAGUUUGAAUCCAGGGCUUGUGUGUGCUAGGUGAAUGCCCUGCCACUGCAGUACACCCAUCCCACCCAACCAGUUGAUUGCAGUGCUUAGAUGGCUCCCUGGACAUUUCAGAAGUUACUUAAGUAAUCAUUCUCUCAUGGUGACAGAGGACUUGAAUUUGUCCCCUAGGUCUGGGUGCCUGUGAAUGUGGCGUGCUUUCAGAACCUCAGCACCACAACUGUACAGCUAGGCAGCAAGAUAUUUUUGUUCCUUAUAUCUUUUCUCAAAGUAGUAUGAUCUACGUACAUAAGAGUGCUUCAUAGUUCUCUUUUGGUAAUUUUCCCCUCAAUCCUUAAUGUCUGAAAGUGGAGGCAGUGGCUUUUCUGGGGCCUGAAUGUCUGCCAAGGACUGGUCCGAUGUUGAAAGCUUUGUGUAUGUUUGAUGUGAUACUUAAACCAAUUCUGCAAGUAGGCAGUCAUAUUUUCCAUGUGAGAACAGCCUCCAGGUUGUAGUCAUUUAUAUGAUAAGUGUCCAAAGUGAAUCCUGUCGCUCUGAACUGAGUGUACAUUGGACUCAGAUAAGAGCCUUCCUUCGUAUGUUUGUUACUAGUUGGACUCUUUCUCUUUGAAUGAGCACGUUUGUGUUCUUCAUGUUGGUAUGAAAAUGAUGUGUGAUGGUUUGUAUAUGCUCAGCCCAGGGAGUGGCACUGUUAGAAGGUGUAUCACCAUGGGUGUGGGCUUUAAGAUCCUCAUCCUAGCUGCCUGGAAGCCAGUAUUCUGCUAACAGCCUUCAGAUGAAGAUGUAGAACUCUCAGCUCCUCCUGCACCAUGCCUGCCUGGAUGUUGCCAUACACUCACCUUGAUGAUAAUAGACUGAACCUCUGAGCCUGUAAGCUAGCCCCAAUUAAAUGUCCUUAUGAGAGUUGU